GGUAUGAUUUUUACAAACUUGAAUCUGCACUAUGUCAGGAAGCUAUUUGUACUUUCCUGGCCCAGUGGUUCUUGAAAAGAAAAUUUUUAAAGAAUGUUCCUAUAUAUUUGCAUGUAAAUCUUUGAUCCCCUAUUGUGGGCCCAUCCUACCCCCAGUAGUGACCAUGGUUUUAAUAAACUUGAAUCUGCACUAUAUCAGGAAGCUAAUAUAUGAAUUUCAGUUUUUCUGGCUCAGUAGUUCUUGAGAAGAUUUUUAAAUGACCCCAUCCUAUUUUUGCAUUUUUGUGAUCAUCUCCCCCUUUCAAGUGGACAUGGCCAUUCCUGUGUACAAACUUGAAUUCCCUUCCCCCAAGGAUGCUUUGUACCAAGUUUGGUCGAAAUUGGCCCAGUGGUUCUGGAGAAGAUGAAAAUGUGAAAAGUUUACAACAACAAUGACAAUGACGACGGACAACAGACAAAUUUUGAUAGACUCAUGUGAACUAAAAACAGCAUUUGGUUUUUGCAUCCGAUAGGUUCGCUUUUGGGUUUGCUUUGUGAGUCUGUUGUGAAUCAGCUUUGCCAGUCCAUUCAGAGUCAGUUUUGUGUUCCCUGAGGACUGAUGAGGUAAGAGCCUUCUGUACAUUUGGGUCGACACAGUAUAUUAUAUCAAGGCUUGAAAAUGACUGUAUAAUAUUAUAAUCAUGGACGGAGAAUAUCCUACAGAAAUAUCAAAGCAUAAUGUUGAUGACUGAACAAAAUCAGAACUCUCAGACCUACAAACAUCAAAGCUUGUCAAUGACUAGAAAAGUUUAUGGGCAUAGAGUGCAUAGACAGGGCUCGCGCUGCCCAUCGCAUUUGUCGCAUUUUGCGAUUUUUCAGAAAAAAAUUUGACAGAAAUUCUGGAAAUGCGACACGGACAUUUCGUAUUUUAGUAUUUGCGCGCCAUUUUGAAUUUCAGCUGUUGGCAUCCAAACAGCCUCAGGGCUGUUUUACCUGUGCAGAAUGUGGAUACCCUGUCGCAUGGGAACAAUAAGACUUAGGGGCGUCUUGUUUAUUUAGCAGUUUACACAAAACAAAGGGUUGAUCCUCUAUGUGCAGACUUCAUGAAGUCCCUUCUCCUCUACAUGAUGAGAUUCACCGAAGGACCACUUUGUCAUUCUGGAUUUCAAGAUGAAAACAGGAUUCUUCAGUGAAAAUGUGAUGUGAAACUAUGAUCAUGUGUUAUGUAUUACAGUAAUUAAUUUUCAGUAACUUUGUCAUCAGUGACUUUUUCUAGACUGCAAAUUUAAUGAGUAAUAUAUGUCAUUUACACUACUAAAAUGAUUAAUAAACAUUUAGAAACUCA